rnacentral:rRNA from 1 species
CCUACGGGUGGCUGCAGCAAGGAAUUUUCGGCAAUGGGCGCAAGCCUGACCGAGCAACGCCGCGUGGAGGAUGACGGCUUUCGGGUUGUAAACUCCUUUUGGGUGGGACGAUGAUGACGGUACCACCUGAAUAAGCCCCGGCUAACUCCGUGCCAGCAGCCGCGGUAAGACGGAGGGGGCAAGCGUUGUCCGGACUCACUGGGCGUAAAGGGUGCGUAGGCGGUCUGGUGCGUUCGCGCUGAAAUCACGCGGCUUAACCGCGUGGCGCGUGCGAA